rnacentral:rRNA from 1 species
GAUGAACGCUGGCGGCGUGCCUAAUACAUGCAAGUCGAGCGAACGGACGAGAAGCUUGCUUCUCUGAUGUUAGCGGCGGACGGGUGAGUAACACGUGGAUAACCUACCUAUAAGACUGGGAUAACUUCGGGAAACCGGAGCUAAUACCGGAUGAUAUUUUGAACCGCAUGGUUCAAAAGUGAAAGACGGUCUUGCUGUCACUUAUAGAUGGAUCCGCGCUGCACUAGCUAGUUGGUAAGGUAACGGCUUACCAAGGCAACGAUGCAUAGCCGACCUGAGAGGGUGAUCGGCCACACUGGAACUGAGACACGGUCCAGACUCCUACGGGAGGCAGCAGUAGGGAAUCUUCCGCAAUGGGCGAAAGCCUGACGGAGCAACGCCGCGUGAGUGAUGAAGGUCUUCGGAUCGUAAAACUCUGUUAUUAGGGAAGAACAUAUGUGUAAGUAACUGUGCACAUCUUGACGGUACCUAAUCAGAAAGCCACGGCUAACUACGUG